GUGAGGAAUAUUGGUCAAUGGUCGGAAGACUGACCCAGCCAUGCCGCGUGCAGGAAGACGGCCCUCUGGGUUGUAAACUGCUUUUAUCUGGGAAGAAAAAGGCCAUGCGUGGCAAAUUGCCGGUACCAGAUGAAUAAGCACCGGCUAACUCCGUGCCAGCAGCCGUGGUAAUACGGAGGGUGCGAGCGUUGUCCGGAUUUAUUGGGUUUACAGGGUGCGUAGGCGGCUGAUUAAGUCAGCGGCGAAAGGCUUCGGCUUAAGCGGAGCAGUGCCGGUGAUACUGAUGUGCUUGAGUGUCGGAGGGGUACAUGGAAUUGAUGGUGUAGCGGUGAAAUGCAUAGAUACCAUCAGGAACACCGAUAGCGAAGGCAUUGUACUGGCCGACAACUGACGCUGAUGCACGAAAGUGUGGGGAUCGAACAGGAUUAGAUACCCGUGUAGUCC
rnacentral:rRNA from 1 species